rnacentral:rRNA from 1 species
UACAGAGGGGGCAAGCGUUGUUCGGAAUUACUGGGCGUAAAGGGCGCGUAGGCGGCCUGCUAAGUCGAACGUGAAAUCCCUGGGCUCAACCCGGGAACUGCGUCCGAUACUGGAGGGCUCGAAUCCGGGAAAGGGAUGUGGAAUUCCAGGUGUAGCGGUGAAAUGCGUAGAUAUCAGGAGGAACACCGGUGGUGUAGACGGCUUUCUGGACCGUAACUGACGCUGAGACACGAAAGCGUGGGUAGCAAACAGG